GACGAACGCUGGCGGCGUGCUUAACACAUGCAAGUCGAACGAUGAACCACUUCGGUGGGGAUUAGUGGCGAACGGGUGAGUAACACGUGGGCAAUCUGCCCUGCACUCUGGGACAAGCCCUGGAAACGGGGUCUAAUACCGGAUACUGAUCAUCUUGGGCAUCCUUGGUGAUCGAAAGCUCCGGCGGUGCAGGAUGAGCCCGCGGCCUAUCAGCUUGUUGGUGAGGUAAUGGCUCACCAAGGCGACGACGGGUAGCCGGCCUGAGAGGGCGACCGGCCACACUGGGACUGAGACACGGCCCAGACUCCUACGGGAGGCAGCAGUGGGGAAUAUUGCACAAUGGGCGAAAGCCUGAUGCAGCGACGCCGCGUGAGGGAUGACGGCCUUCGGGUUGUAAACCUCUUUCAGCAGGGAAGAAGCGAAAGUGACGGUACCUGCAGAAGAAGCGCCGGCUAACUACGUGCCAGCAGCCGCGGUAAUACGUAGGGCGCGAGCGUUGUCCGGAAUUAUUGGGCGUAAAGAGCUCGUAGGCGGCUUGUCGCGUCGGUUGUGAAAGCCCGGGGCUUAACCCCGGGUCUGCAGUCGAUACGGGCAGGCUAGAGUUCGGUAGGGGAGAUCGGAAUUCCUGGUGUAGCGGUGAAAUGCGCAGAUAUCAGGAGGAACACCGGUGGCGAAGGCGGAUCUCUGGGCCGAUACUGACGCUGAGGAGCGAAAGCGUGGGGAGCGAACAGGAUUAGAUACCCUGGUAGUCCACGCCGUAAACGGUGGGCACUAGGUGUGGGCGACAUUCCACGUCGUCCGUGCCGCAGCUAACGCAUUAAGUGCCCCGCCUGGGGAGUACGGCCGCAAGGCUAA
rnacentral:rRNA from 1 species